UCCUCGAUGGUCUAGUGGUCAUGAGUAAGACCUCCCCCGUUCUCCUCCACCACCAUUGUUCACUACCGAUCUGUGUUCUAACACGUAAACAGUUUCCGCUUGUCAUCUCUUCAUUGGGGAAACAAGCCGCGGGAGACCAGGGUUCGAUUCCCUGUCGGGGAG